UACGUAGGUGGCAAGCGUUGUCCGGAUUUAUUGGGCGUAAAGGGAGCGCAGGCGGUGACUUAAGUCUGAUGUGAAAGCCCACGGCUCAACCGUGGAAGGUCAUUGGAAACUGGGUCACUUGAAUAUAGAAGAGGAAAGUGGAAUUCCAUGUGUAGCGGUGAAAUGCGUAGAUAUAUGGAGGAACACCAGUGGCAAAGGCGACUUUCUGGUCUAUUAUUGACGCUGAGGCUCGAAAGCGUGGGUAGCAAACAGGAUUAGAUACCCU
rnacentral:rRNA from 1 species